rnacentral:rRNA from 1 species
CAGUAGCCACGGUAAUACGGAGGGUGCAAGCGUUACUCGGAAUUACUGGGCGUAAAGCGUGCGUAGGUGGUGGUUUAAGUCCGUUGUGAAAGCCCUGGGCUCAACCUGGGAAUUGCAGUGGAUACUGGGUCACUAGAGUGUGGUAGAGGAUAGUGGAAUUUCCGGUGUAGCAGUGAAAUGCGUAGAGAUCGGAAGGAACAUCUGUGGCGAAGGCGACUAUCUGGGCCAACACUGACACUGAGGCACGAAAGCGUGGGGAGCAAACAGGAUUAGAUACCCGAGUAGUCCCUGUCUCUUAUAC